rnacentral:lncRNA from 1 species
UGGGAUUUUUUAUGAUUUUCACUACGGGUAUAUGAGUCGAUAUAAUAUAAAUUUGAUUUUGAUGCCAUGUGUAUAUUAGGUAUUCAUAAAGAGGAGACGGCCAACUGAGUUUCAUCGAGAUGAAGAAUGGUUGACUUGCUAUGUUAUAUAUGCUUGUUUAAUUUUUUUGUAUCGGAGUAUGAUUCUGCCGUUUGAAUUGUAGCAUUUUAAACUAGGAAAAGCUUUGAAUUGUAGCAUAAUUUCGAUUUUUGUAGUUAGGCUUCAGGCUACUGUGAUUAAAUUUGUGCAGAAUGUGUUAAUGGUGAUUAUUUGGAAUACCUUAUUUGUGAAAAUCUAUGAACUACAUUAUGUUCUCUAUGAUGAUAUACCCGUUCAAAACAAGCAGUACACCUUUGAAUAGAAAAAUCAAAGAAAGCCUCAAAUGAUAAUACAUGCCAUGUGAAGCAAAUCAAUAACAUCAACACAGAAUUUAGCAUUAAGUAACGGCACUAUUGGUCAAUUUACAAAAUCUUGAAACUAACAUUCAUUUUUCUUCAAACAUGAACACAAAAUUCGAAGUACCUAACCAAACAUCCACCGCCAAUCAAACUAGCGCCUUGCCUUUGGUGUUCCUUUCGGUGCUCGAUUUGCCCGUACAGAUCGUUACAUUUACAGAUAUGUGGAGUUCUUGUUCUUCUUUUUUUCAUUGUACAACGAACGAUUAUUCAAUUUGGAUUAAUAAUCCAUUUUAUUUCUUUUUAUCUUUUUC